rfam:Picea glauca, whole genome shotgun sequence.
GGGUAUGAUCAUACCAGUGUUAAUGCACCGGAUCCCAUCGAAACUCCGCAGUUAGGCGUGCUUGAUCUAGAGUGGUAUUGGGAUGGGUGACCUGCCAGGAAGUCCUAGUGUUGCAACCU